rnacentral:tRNA from 2 species
GCCCUCGUAGCCCAACUGGCAGCAGGCAAUGCACUCAAACUGCAUACAGUGUGGGUUCGAAUCCCACCGAGGGCACCA